rnacentral:rRNA from 1 species
AUUGAACGCUGGCGGCAUGCUUUACACAUGCAAGUCGAACGGCAGCGCGGGGCUACCUUGCGGCGCGUGGCGAACGGGUGAGUAAUAUAUCGGAACGUACCCAGCCGUGGGGUAUAACGUAGCUAAAGUUACCCUAAUACCGCAUCCGAUCUACGCAUGAACUUCGUGGACCGCAUGGCCUUGUUCUUUUGGUUCGGCCGAUAUCUGCUUCGCUAGUUGGUGGGGUAAAGGCUCACCAAGGCGACGAUCAGUAGCUGUUCUGAGAGAACGAUCAGCCACAUUGGAACUGAGACAAGGUCAAGACUACUAAGGGAGGGAGCAGACGGGAAUGUUGGACAAUGGGCGGAAGCAUGAUACAGCAAGGCCGAGUGAGUGAAGAAGGCCUUCGGGUUGUAAAGCUCUUUUGUGAGGGAAGAAACGGUAGAGGCUAAGAUCAUUUGCUAAUGACGGUACUGGAAGAAUAAGCACCGGCUAACUACGUG